rnacentral:lncRNA from 1 species
UAUAUGUAAAAUAACAAAGCAAGGGUCAAAUAUUAGUCAAAAUCUAAUCACGUAAAAUAAGUGAGGUAAAAGUGAAAUUUAAUGAAGUUUAUGGAUCAAAUUACAUGAGUUUAAUUAAAAACUGGAACAACAGCAGCACACAAAAAUAUUGAUGCAAUUUUAAAAUGAAACAGUAAUAUAAACCAAAGAUAAAUAAAAGCAGUAACUUCCAUUUCUUCCGUUAAAGUAGCUAUGCUAAAUUAACCCGAAUAAAAAGGAGGUACCUACAAAUAAUAGAAAAUACGUUUUUUUUUUUUUUUUCACUUUUCUUUCUUCUCUCUCUCUAUUUUUUUUUAAAUUAAAAAAAUGACUCUUACAUAAACGAAAUGAACGAAACAGGGGUUUAAGUUGAGGCACAAAUCAUACACUACCCAUUUAACACAUGGCCCAAUAUUAAUACACUAUCCAAACUACCACCAAAGCCUAAUGAAAUCAGAGGCAGAGACUUACGAGAGGGAAAAUGAGGGCUGUGUUGAUGGAAAUUGCGGCAAGUAUGAUGGGCGACGGCAUUGUGAGGGAGAUCGACGGUCGCGUCCAUGGUGGUCACGAGUGGAGGAGACAGUUGUGGGUGGGUGCUCUGGGUUAUCGCAAGAGGCCCGAGUUCAGAAAGGCGAUGGAUCAAUUUCUGGUUGCUGUAAUUUCAAAUGAGUUUGUUCAAUUUCUGGUUGCUAUCGCGAGUGAGGAGGCUUUGCUGAUUUAGAGUUGAUUUGUAGAUGACUGGUGGAACAGAAAGUGUCUAACCUUUUCGGAUCUGGUGCACAAGGACGGAUUUGCAGCAACGGUUGCAGCUUGGUGGUUGUUAUGGUAGGACAGUUUGUGUAUAUGGUGUAUACAGAGCUCUGUCGGUUAUUAUAUGGGCUAGAGAUUGAUGGUGUUGAACCGCAGCACAGUGAAAUUCUUCUUCGCUGCCAUGGCAAUUCUGUGACUCAAAUUUUGAGUUGAAGAUGUUUGAACCAAGUUCAGCUUUGAUACCACUUUGAUGUAGAAUUAGUUGAGAUAAAGAAGCAAUAACAUGAAAGAAGUAGAGGAAGGAGGAGAAAAUAGGGAAGAAAGAGGAAGAAGCAGCAGGCGCAAGGGAAGAAGAAUACCAGAGAAAAGGAGAAGAAAACCGUGGGCAACAAGUCCAGUUAAUUUCCAAUCAUCGUAUGUUUUCUCUCACAUCCAAUACACCCCACUUGUAGAUAAAGUUGUGGGCUAGGGUCAGGCCCAAAUACAAACCCAAUUUACUAGUCCAAAAUAAUAAAACCCAAAUAAAACCCACAUCGAUCAUUUAACAAUGAGGAAAGUGAUCCCAAAGAAACUAAUGCCAUAAGUAAGUUCCAAUUUUCACUUUUGUGUUAUUUAAGUAUAUGUGAGCUUAAAAGAUGCAACAUGGACAACAGAUUGUGGUAUUAUAAGAAAACAUCUUUCUGGAUUGAUUAAAGUUAAAAUAACAAAAUUGCAGGGGGCAAGCAAUAAACUAUAAAGGAAAAUCUUCACCAGUCUUUAUUGUAAAUAUUUAGUGGGUAAGACCAUUUGAGAUUAUUGUUUUCUUGCACGGAUGCAAGUGAGUGCCAUGUGCAACCCACAUGCCCUUUUUUGUUUUACUUUAUGCAGUCGUUCAUCUUGUGCAAGUAAGAGUGUCAAUGGUGAUUAGAAAGUGAGAAGGCACUCAAAAAAGAACUAACGAAAAUAGAGGGGGAUAGAAAGGGAUGGAAAGAAAAGGAAAACAAGUCAUCCCAAGUGAUUUGCCAACAUGAUCAUUUUCUUCUUAAAAAAAAAAGUAAAAUAAAUUGAAGCUGCUAAUCCUUUUUGUUACCAAAUCCAUGAUGUUCAAGUUGAUGUUACUCAAUAGUCAAUUGCUCAGAUAAAUAGCUAGUGACAAAGCAUUUGAAACCUCUGUUUAGAAAGGAAAAAAUGCCUCUGGGACUUUCUUCACUAUCCCAAAGUCGUCUGGGCCUGAAGCUUCUCCUGGAUACUCCCUGUCCACUUGUUUACUAUUCGUCAUUUAACGACUAAUCUCUCUACUUCUUACUUAAUUGGUUUUCCCACCAGUUUGCAUACUGAACUGCAAACUUGGCAAUAAUCAUUAGACUCGAAGUUUAAACUUGCUAGUGUACUUGGUAUAGCUUCAGGUGUAUAUUACAAUGAAAAAUAGAUAUCACUAUAGUUGGGCCCACUUUCUGGGAUAUUUUUUUUUCUUUUGGUUUUAGUCCUCUUUCAUGCCUUCAUCUAUUGGAGUAUUGGUUACCUAUGGAUGUCAAAGUGCUCAGCGGAGUGGAAAUUUGGGACUAAUAAGCGUCCUAUCACACAUGCAUCGUAAUUUUGUAUUUUGUAUACCAGCUAUUUUUAUUAAUUUAAUAGAGUACCCCUCGACUUCCCGUUCAAUGCACAGUUGCACACAGAAGAUCUGCUGUAUGUUUCCAAUUUUUACUUUAUUGUUUUUAGUAUAUUUAUAUAUCAAUCGCCAUAUUUGGCAGGGAGCUCUCUCUGGCUGUUUGACACACUGCGACAUCACUACUGCCCUCCUGUUUCUAGGUAUAUGUUUCACACCAUGAUCUGUGCAUAUGCACAUUUCAAUGCAUUUUACAUAUAUUUCCCGAUAUAUCUUCUGUUGUCAAAGCAAAAACUGCUAAAAUUGCAGUUAAAGAUUUCAGUUCUGGUUCAUAUGCAACAAUUUUCAAUAACGAGGUAACGUCGCGUUAGUGCUGAUAUUUAAAUGUUAUUGAUUGUCAUACAUGAUAAACAGCAUUUGCUAGGUUCAGGAGCUUUCCAUAACAUGUUAAAUUAUGUGACUUCAUUUCUCCAUUAGGUUUCAGGAUCUAAAUUAUGUGUAUUUUUUUUGUAUUGCAAAUAUGUGGUCUAUUACUUCUUUGAUGGUUGACGUACAGCUGAUUUUUGACCCACUUUAAUCUGUUACCUUGAUUUACAUGCAGCUUCACCCAUUUAGUUUCACGUUUCAACACAUUUCCGCUGGAGUAUAGUUAUUGAUGCAGCACUUUUUUGUUUUCUGCAAUUAAUCCUCGAAAAAUAUGAAUUGUUCCUAUAGAUGAGACGAAGGGUGAAGCAAGUCCCAUUGGCAUUCUACAAAGCAACUCCAUCCUCCAAAAAUAUGAAUUUACGAUGGGUGAAGCCAGUCACGAUGGGUGAAGCAAGCCCCUUUGGUAUUCUACAAAGCAACUCCAUCGUGUUUGUUCUUGGAGUCCGAAUUUCCUGGUUGGAUGUUCAAAUUGAAAAGCGCCAAUCAAUAGAGUACUAAGUACAACUGAGAACAAGAAUCAUAUAAACUGCAGCACAUAGAGAGCUCGAUAAAUGUAGUUUCUCCACUUAUUUAAGAUCCUAAAAGAUGAUAUUUUAUUGUUUUUUGGAUGAAAUUCUACUUAACUUGUGUUAUAUUACAUUUUGUAGGUAAAACUCAAUUUUUGAUAAAGAAAU